GACGUAGGCACCAAGCGUUGUCCGGAUUUAUUGGGCGUAAAGAGCUCGUAGGCGGUUCGGUAAGUCGGGUGUGAAAACUUUUGGGCUCAACCCAAAGCCUGCACUCGAUACUGCUGUGACUUGAGUCCGGUAGGGGAGUGGGGAAUUCCCGGUGUAGCGGUGAAAUGCGCAGAUAUCGGGAGGAACACCAAUUGCGAAGGCAGCUCGCUGGGACGUCACUGACGCUGAGACGCGAAAGCGUGGGGAGCAAACAGGG
rnacentral:rRNA from 1 species